GAUGAACGCUGGCGGCGUGCCUAAUACAUGCAAGUCGAGCGAACAGACGAGGAGCUUGCUCCUCUGACGUUAGCGGCGGACGGGUGAGUAACACGUGGAUAACCUACCUAUAAGACUGGGAUAACUUCGGGAAACCGGAGCUAAUACCGGAUAAUAUAUUGAACCGCAUGGUUCAAUAGUGAAAGACGGUUUUGCUGUCACUUAUAGAUGGAUCCGCGCCGCAUUAGCUAGUUGGUAAGGUAACGGCUUACCAAGGCGACGAUGCGUAACCGACCUGAGAGGGUGAUCGGCCACACUGGAACUGAGACACGGUCCAGCCUCCUACGGGAGGCAGCAGUAGGGAAUCUUCCGCAAUGGGCGAAAGCCUGACGGAGCAACGCCGCGUGAGUGAUGAAGGUCUUCGGAUCGUAAAACUCUGUUAUUAGGGAAGAACAAAUGUGUAAGUAACUAUGCACGUCUUGACGGUACCUAAUCAGAAAGCCACGGCUAACUACGUG
rnacentral:rRNA from 1 species